rnacentral:misc_RNA from 1 species
GUCGUAACAAGGUUUCCGUAGGUGAACCUGCGGAAGGAUCAUUACCACACCGAUCCAAGAUCUUUUUUUCCGCGAACCCCUGCCCUGACCGCGGUUGCUUGACGUGACGCUUUUUGAAAAAUAAUCGCGUCCGUCGGCAUUUCGCACGCAGGGCAGGUCACAUAUUUUUUCUUUGGAAAGAAUAUGUGGUUUCCCUAAAAUCACAUAUUUUUUAAAUAUUAACCGGUCGAGACCAACAGUAUCAUGAAACAAGAGCCAGUCAUUGCAUUAUUAUUAUGCGGUGCGGACAAAAACAAUGUAUUACAACUUUCAGCAACGGAUGUCUUGGUUCCCA